GCAGAUACUAGCAUCAGAAAGCCAGGGGCCCAGUUUCCUUUGCACAAAAGCAAGAGGACAAAGAACAGAGGAGGGCUAACCCUGCGGAAUCUGGUGUGGAGACCUGCAUUACCCUCCUGCAUUUCCCUCCUCUCUGCUCCUCACUGUGAAAGAGGCUGGCCAGCUCCACGCUGAGAAGAUGAUGCCACAGAGGCAGUUUUGGGCAAAUCUUUCCCUUUUUCUCCAAACUCAUGGCCUCCUCUAAUUUCAUCAACCUUAAGCAGAGAAACCUAAGCCUAUGGACCUAAGAGUGUAGUAAGUUUGGGGAGCAUGAAGGGACACAGGUCCCGCCUUUUGAGAGGCAUGCAUGCUGGGAACAGGGAUGUAGUGCUGGCAGCUAUUGCUGGGCUACUUUCCUAAUUAAUUAAUUAAUUAGUUAUUGGUACUGGGAAUGAAGUCGGGCCUUGGGCUUUCCAGGCAGGCUGUGUGGUGCUGAGCUACAUCUCUGGCCCAGGGUUACUUUCUUUUUUUGGGACAGUGGACCAAACUCACAGCCUCAUGCUUGCCAGGCAGGUGCUCAUGUCCCUGAGCUGUAUCCCUGGACACCAUGGGUCACUGUUUUUUUUUGUUAUUUUGUUAGCAAGGCCUGAACUCAAGACCAUUUUUUAACUAGGAAUGACUUUUUUAACUAGGAAUUUUCCUCCUUUCCUAUUCAUGGCAUAGGCAGCCUAAAAAGAUUCCCCCUUUUGCUGUGAAAAGGAAAAAGGCUGCUGGGGAGCUGGGGAGGGGGAGAUCUGUGCCUGUUUUCCUGCUGGGAAGUUCUCCCCAGAAUCCACUGGCCCCACGGCUUGGAUUUACUCCAAGGUCAUUCCUGCAGCAAGGUGGCUUUAAAGGACUCAAAGCAGAGGCCCCGCUCUGGACAGCAGGCAGGUGGUGUGACACCUGAGGCCUCAGGACACAGGCUGAAAUCAGAAAGGGAACUGUAAGUGGCACCGGAAAUUAAAAUUUUAAAUGUUUCACUUUGUUUCCUUUAGUGAGAAGUG
rnacentral:lncRNA from 1 species